rnacentral:rRNA from 1 species
GACGAACGCUGGCGGCGUGCUUAACACAUGCAAGUCGAACGAAGAGCGAUGGAAGCUUGCUUCUAUCAAUCUUAGUGGCGAACGGGUGAGUAACGCGUAAUCAACCUGCCCUUCAGAGGGGGACAACAGUUGGAAACGACUGCUAAUACCGCAUACGAUCUAAUCUCGGCAUCGAGGAUAGAUGAAAGGUGGCCUCUACAUGUAAGCUAUCACUGAAGGAGGGGAUUGCGUCUGAUUAGCUAGUUGGAGGGGUAACGGCCCACCAAGGCGAUGAUCAGUAGCCGGUCUGAGAGGAUGAACGGCCACAUUGGGACUGAGACACGGCCCAGACUCCUACGGGAGGCAGCAGUGGGGAAUCUUCCGCAAUGGACGAAAGUCUGACGGAGCAACGCCGCGUGAGUGAGGACGGCCUUCGGGUUGUAAAGCUCUGUUAAUCGGGACGAAAGGCCUUCUUGCGAAUAGGGAGAAGGAUUGACGGUACCGGAAGAGAAAGCCACGGCUAACUACGUG